rnacentral:rRNA from 1 species
CGUAGGGUGCGAGCGUUAAUCGGAAUUACUGGGCGUAAAGCGUGCGCAGGCGGUUUGCUGUGUCUGUCGUGAAAGCCCCGGGCUUAACCUGGGAAUGGCGAUGGAAACUGGCGAGCUGGAGUGCGGCAGAGGGGGGUGGAAUUCCGCGUGUAGCAGUGAAAUGCGUAGAGAUGCGGAGGAACACCGAUGGCGAAGGCAGCCCCCUGGGUCGACACUGACGCUCAGGCACGAAAGCGUGGGGAGCAAACAGGAUUAGAUACCCUGGUAGUCCACGCCCUAAACCAUGUCAACUGGGUGUUGGGGAAGCGAUUCCCUAGUACCGUAGCUAACGCGUGAAGUUGACCGCCUGGGGAGUACGGCCGCAAGGUUA